rnacentral:rRNA from 1 species
UACGUAAGUGGCAAGCGUUGUCCGGAUUUACUGGGCGUAAAGGAUGCGUAGGCGGAUACUUAAGUCAGAUGUGAAAAUCCCGGGCUUAACUUGGGAACUGCAUUUGGAAACUGGGUAUCUAGAGUGCGGGAGAGGAAAGUGGAAUUCCUAGUGUAGCGGUGAAAUGCGUAGAGAUUAGGAAGAACACCAGUGGCGAAGGCGACUUUCUGGACCGUAACUGACGCUGAGGCAUGAAAGCGUGGGGAGCGAACAGG